rnacentral:tmRNA from 1 species
GGGGCUGAAACUAGAUUCGACGUGGAGGGAUGUGACCUCACUGCGAGUCGGGGCGCACCCACCCCGAGACCAAGGUGCACAAUAAUAGGUGCCAACAAGAGCACUCCCGCCUACGCUCUGGCUGCGUAAGACCAGCUAGACUAGGUACGAUCCCUUACGAGGGGUCUCGUCCACCCGGCCUUUCUGCGACCGGGACCGGCAUGGACGUCAUAUGAGGUCGUAGUGCGGUACAGCUAGCGUCCGGGCUGUAUCAAAGACCAAAAAUGCGGGCCCUAGCCCCCAUGCGCGCCUGUCAGCGGGCGUGCCCGGGGCGAAAUCUCAAAUACGCUGACUACACUCGUAGACGUGGGCAAGCUAACUUCGCGGACCCGGGUGCAACUCCCGGCAGCUCCACUC